rnacentral:rRNA from 1 species
GGUGAGGUAACGGCUCACCAAGGCAUUGACGGGUAGCUAGUCUGAGAGGACGAAUAGCCACACUGGGACUGAGACACGGCCCAGACUCCUACGGGAGGCAGCAGUGGGGAAUCUUGCACAAUGGGCGAAAGCCUGAUGCAGCGACGCCGCGUGGGGGAUGAAGGCCCUAGGGUCGUAAACCCCUUUCAGUGGGGACGAAACUGACGGUACCCACAGAAGAAGGUCCGGCCAACUAUGUGCCAGCAGCCGCGGUAAGACGUAGGGACCGAGCGUUAUCCGGAUUUAUUGGGCGUAAAGAGCUCGUAGGCGGUUGCGUAAGUCGGAAGUGAAAACUUGAGGCUCAACCUCGAGACGCCAUCCGAUACUGCGCUGACUUGAAUCCAGUAGGGGAGUGUGGAAUUUGUUGUGUAGCGGUGAAAUGCGCAGAUAUGACAAGGAACACCUAUGGCGAAGGCAGCACUCUGGGCUGGUAUUGACGCUGAGGAGCGAAAGCAUGGGUAGCAAACAGGAUUAGAUACCCUGGUAGUCCAUGCCGUAAACGGUGGGCACUAGGUGUGGGGACUUUCAACGGUUUCCGUGCCGAAGCUAACGCAUUAAGUGCG